UUUCGUGGUUCUAACGAUGUUGAAGGGUUAGCGCGUGGGACUUUUAAUCCCAAGGCUGUGAGUUCGAGUCUCACGUCGGGCGAGGCAA